CGAACGCUGGCGGCAGGCCUAACACAUGCAAGUCGCAGGGGAAGCCGUCCUUCGGGUCGGUGGAGACUGGCGCACGGGUGAGUAACGCGUGGGUAUCUGCCCUGGGGUGGGGGAUAACCGCUGGAAACGGCGGCUAAUACCGCAUACGCCCUCUGGGGGAAAGCCGUAAGGCGCUCUAGGAGGAGCCCGCGUCCGAUUAGCUUGUUGGUGGGGUAACGGCCCACCAAGGCGUCGAUCGGUAGCUGGUCUGAGAGGAUGAUCAGCCACACUGGGACUGAGACACGGCCCAGACUCCUACGGGAGGCAGCAGUGGGGAAUAUUGGACAAUGGGCGCAAGCCUGAUCCAGCCAUGCCGCGUGAGUGAAGAAGGCCUUAGGGUUGUAAAGCUCUUUCGCCCGUGAAGAUGAUGACGGUAGCGGGAGAAGAAGCCCCGGCUAACUCCGUGCCAGCAGCCGCGGUAAU
rnacentral:rRNA from 1 species